UAAAGAGUUCUAUAACUCCCAAACCCAUGUGAACAUACCUAACGUUGCCUCGGCAGGUCGCACCUACCUUGUAGCACCCUACCCUGUAGGGCCUACCCGGGAGGUGCGGGUAAGCCUGCCGGCGGCCCACCAAACUCUGUUUGAUAUUGAAUUCUGAACCUAUAACUAAAUAAGUUAAAACUUUCAACAACGGAUCUCUUGGUUCUGGCAUCGAUGAAGAACGCAGCGAAAUGCGAUAAGUAAUGUGAAUUGCAGAAUUCAGUGAAUCAUCGAAUCUUUGAACGCAUAUUGCGCCCAUUAGUAUUCUAGUGGGCAGGACCGUUCGAGCGUCAUUUCAACCCUUAAGCCUUCGUUGCUUAGUGUUGGGAGCCUACGGCAACGUAGCUCCUCAAAGUUAGUGGCGGAGUUGGUUCACACUCUAGACGUAGUAAUUUUUUAUCUCGCCUAUUAGUUGGACUAAUCCCCUGCCGUAAAACCCCCAAUUUAUCAAGGUUGACCUCGAAUCGGUUCAGACAAACUCGCUAAAUUGAAGCAUCUUAGUCAGCG
rnacentral:rRNA from 1 species